rnacentral:rRNA from 1 species
GACGAACGCUGGCGGCGUGCCUAAUACAUGCAAGUCGAGCGGACGAAUCGAAAGCUUGCUUUUGAUUCGUUAGCGGCGGACGGAUGAGUAACACGUGGGCAACCUGCCCUGUAGACGGGGAUAACACCGAGAAAUCGGUGCUAAUACCGGAUAACACGAAAUGUCGCAUGACGUUUCGUUGAAAGACGGCGCAAGCUGUCGCUACAGGAUGGGCCCGCGGCGCAUUAGCUAGUUGGUGAGGUAACGGCUCACCAAGGCGACGAUGCGUAGCCGACCUGGGAGGGUGAUCGGCGACACUGGGACUGAGACACGGCCCUGACUACUACGGGAGGCAGCAGUAGGGAAUCUUCCGCAAUGGACGAAAGUCUGACGGAGCAACGCCGCGUGAGCGAAGAAGGCCUUCGGGUCGUAAAGCUCUGUUGUUAGGGAAGAACAAGUAACGCAGUAACUGGCGUUACCGUGACGGUACCUAACGAGAAAGCCACGGCUAACUACGUG